AUUGAACGCUGGCGGCAUGCUUUACACAUGCAAGUCGAACGGUAACAGGGUGCUUGCACCGCUGACGAGUGGCGAACGGGUGAGUAAUACAUCGGAAUGUACCCAGUAAUGGGGGAUAACGCUUCGAAAGGAGUGCUAAUACCGCAUACGCCCUGAGGGGGAAAGUGGGGGACCGCAAGGCCUCACGUUAUUGGAGCAGCCGAUGGCUGAUUAGCUAGUUGGUAGGGUAAAGGCCUACCAAGGCAAGGAUGGGUAGCCGGCCUGAGAGGGUGUACGGCCACAUUGGGACUGAGAUACGGCCCAGACUCCUACGGGAGGCAGCAGUGGGGAAUAUUGCGCAAUGGACGAAAGUCUGACGCAGCGACGCCGCGUGAAGGAAGACGGUUUUCGGAUUGUAAACUUCUGUUAAGUGGGAAGAAAUACUUCUGGUUAAUACCCAGAAGGGCUGACGGUACCACUAGAGAAAGCACCGGCAAACUUCGUGCCAGCCGCCGCGGUAAAAC
rnacentral:rRNA from 1 species